AGUGAGGCACAGGAUGCUGGUCACCACAGCAGCAGCAGUGAAGUCUAUGGAUCCUCCGUGGAGGAAAAACACACAGCCACAGAAGGGAAGCUAAUCUGAGGCGUCAACAGUGCAGGACAUCAACAUAUGGCACAUUCUUACAAAGAAGACAGGACAUCUCUGUCCCAUAAGUGGAUUUGUCAACCAGGAAACCAGGUUGUAUUUAUAGAAGAUUCUAAGUAAGGGUCAGAGGACAGUAAUCUGGCCUCACUUUAGCCUGACAUCAGUAACAAUCUGGGCUGGAAGUCCAAGCAGCAUAUCCAUGUGUGAGAUCAAUUUCCUCAGACAUUGUUCCCUCUUAACAAGGCAUGCAUAUGCACCAGUAAUGGAGUACUGUAAACCUUAAAUGCACCUUUGAGCCUGCUGGAGAGGUGGCAGGGGAAUAACUGUCAUCAAUCACCUAAUGUAAACAGCUCAGUUAAGAAGUGAUGUGUGCUGCUGUUGCAUAAUGACAGAGCAAGCUGCUACCCUGCUGACAAAAGGCUCUUUACUGUAGAGGCUGUUUCCUGACACAUGCUGGAGUCAGUAUGGUGGAGCUGCUUUUACUGGAGAACACUGGAUCCCUCUAAUGUUGAAAGCAAUCAUUUUCUCUCUUAAUCCUCAGAUCAAACAUUACUGAUUAAAUACUUUUGUUAGAAUAUUGUUUUACUGUGAAAGCACACUGCAUUUCCAUUGCUUUUAUUACUGCGGUAUAACUUCAUGUAACAUUUAUGUUAAUUUUUUGAAUUUGUUUGCAUGUUUUGUUUUAGCAAUUUAAAUCAGUACUUCACUCCACUGCAGAAAAAAGCAGACUCUGGAGCUGGAGAUAUAAUAAUCUGGAUCAGUUUUAGCCAAGCUGGUGCUGCAGCCGUGUCAUCUGUCUGAUGUCUGUUCAGUCUCACCAACUAUUGCAUUGUAAUAUUGUUUUUCACAAAUAUUCAUGCAACUCAGUCAUUUCUGUCAAUGCCCCCCUGCUGCCUAAACACUGACACCAAGCAGGUUUUCUCUGUUUUUCCUCUGGUCUGGAAAUAUCUGCCAUCCAUAUAAGGACCUAUCUAAAUCAGUUCUAAAGACCUACACAUUUUCACUUUCUGUUAUUCUGAGACGCGUUAUGGUUUUGUCGAGUCCACUGUAAUUGUUUUCUUACCUCUUUUUUGUUUUAUUUUAGCUCUUGUUCCUAAUAUUUAUAUUUAUAUUUCAUUUUUAUUCGACUCCUUUUAUCAUUUGAGCUUGCUAGCUAGCUUUGCUUUCCAAAAUAAUGUGCUGUUUAUGUGUGUUUUUGUGUUUUGUACUUGGAUUUGUGGAGACCUGACACAGAAAAUGGGCUUGCCUUAACUUGACUCAGUUUGACCUGACCUUUGGUUUUGAGUGAGAUAUCUCAAUAAGCACUUAAUUGAUUAUUGAUUCAGUCAUUUCACCCUGAGGAUGAAAGAAAUGCAAUAGUUCUGUGAUCCCCUGAGGUUUAUACAGCUUCAUCAGUAGUUUUCAUUACAUUUAUUUCUGAAUUAUUUGGUAAAACUACUAAUAUUCAGGCUCCUGCAGGGUCCUAUAUUUAAAUGAAAAUGUAAGCUUACAUAUGAAAAUGUAAUUCCACAACAGUUAUAUUUAUCCACAAAUAUGUGUGUUAUUCGAGUAAGAAUGUGUGUGUGUGUGUGUGUGUGUGUGCGCGCGCGCGCGCGCGUGUGUGUGUGUGUGUGCGCAUGUGUGUGUGUUAAAAUGAAUGUGAAAAAGCUGUUUUACAUUUAAUGUUUAUGGUUUUUGUACAGUUUCAUUUUCAAAAACAUACCACAGUUUACAUGAGCAACCAAGCAAAUGUUAAUUCAAAUUUUAAAAUAAAAUAAAACAAUAUUAAG
ensembl:lncRNA